AUUGAACGCUGGCGGAAUGCUUUACACAUGCAAGUCGAACGGCAGCACGGACUUCGGUCUGGUGGCGAGUGGCGAACGGGUGAGUAACAUAUCGGAACGUAUCCAAUAAUGGGGGAUAACGAGUCGAAAGAUUCGCUAAUACCGCAUACGCCCUACGGGAGAAAGCUGGGGACCUUCGGGCCUGGCGCUAAUGGAGCGGCCGAUAUCUGAUUAGCUAGUUGGUGAGGUAAAGGCUCACCAAGGCGACGAUCAGUAGCUGGUCUGAGAGGACGACCAGCCACACUGGAACUGAGACACGGUCCAGACUCCUACGGGAGGAAGCAGUGGGGAAUUUUGGACGAUGGGCGCAAGCCUGAUCCAGCCAUUCCGCGUGAGUGAAGAAGGCCUUCGGGUUGUAAAGCUCUUUCGCAAGGGAAGAAAACUUAGCCACUAACAUUGGUUGAGGUUGACGGUACCUUGAUAAGAAGCACCGGCUAACUACGUGCCAGCCGCCGCCGUAA
rnacentral:rRNA from 1 species